UACGUAGGGGGCAAGCGUUGUCCGGAUUUACUGGGCGUAAAGAGCGUGUAGGCGGCCAUACAGGUCCGUUGUGAAAACUGGAGGCUUAACCUUCAGACGUCGACGGAAACCGUGUGGCUAGAGUCCGGAAGAGGAGAGUGGAAUUCCUGGUGUAGCGGUGAAAUGCGCAGAUAUCAGGAAGAACACCAAUGGCGAAGGCAGCUCUCUGGGACGGUACUGACGCUGAGACGCGAAAGCGUGGGGAGCGAACAGG
rnacentral:rRNA from 1 species